GAUGAACGCUGGCGGCGUGCCUAAUACAUGCAAGUCGAGCGAACGGACGAGAAGCUUGCUUUUCUGAUGUUAGCGGCGGACGGGUGAGUAACACGUGGAUAACCUACCUAUAAGACUGGGAUAACUUCGGGAAACCGGAGCUAAUACCGGAUAAUAUUUUGAACCGCAUGGUUCAAAAGUGAAAGACGGUCUUGCUGUCACUUAUAGAUGGAUCCGCGCUGCAUUAGCUAGUUGGUAAGGUAACGGCUUACCAAGGCAACGAUGCAUAGCCGACCUGAGAGGGUGAUCGGCCACACUGGAACUGAGGCACGGUCCAGACUCCUACGGGAGGCAGCAGUAGGGAAUCUUCCGCAAUGGGCGAAAGCCUGACGGAGCAACGCCGCGUGAGUGAUGAAGGUCUUCGGAUCGUAAAACUCUGUUAUUAGGGAAGAACAUAUGUAUAAGUAACUGUGCACAUCUUGACGGUACCUAAUCAGAAAGCCACGGCUAACUACGUG
rnacentral:rRNA from 1 species